UAUAUUUAUUUAUUUCGCUUAUCUGUAUUUUCUCAUUUCUCUACAGUUAUGUAAGUUUUCAUAUUAAAAGUGACAAACUGUUUAAUUAGGAACAGUCUGGGACUCCAGUAUUGUCUCAGCUCUCACAGACUUGGGCAGGUCCCCACCCCUCUCUUGGCCUUUCUUAGAAAUGCCAGUAGUAAGGUUCCCCUGUGAGAGGUAAACGAAUCAAAAGCUUCCUGGCUCAGGAGACAUCUCUCCAGCCCGUUCAUGAGUCAUCAACCUAAGGAAAGAAUGCAGCAACCAAAGAGUGAGGCAUCCAGAGAAAAGUCAAGGUUCAGAGAAGCCCAGUGUGGCCAUGUGCAUGGCCAGUGCUGUCUGAAACGUCAGGAUGCUGGGAGAAGUGCCCAUCCCAGUCCCCACAGAGGACCCUCCCUGUAGGGGGUGGAGAUUGUUCCUCAGGCUUCACCAAGGUCUAUGUGAAUCACUUUUCCACUAACUCUUCUCACCCCUUUGUUCAGAUUCCAGGCCCACCAGGCAACAGCUUGCCAGAGACCUGGCUCCCAGGGGGGAAAGAGACUGGGGAGGGGACAAGUGGUGUCAGAUGAGUUGAGGGGAGGAAUCAUCUUGAGUGAUAAGGUUAAGGCUAAUCAGUCUGACUCCUCUCUCUCUGAAUAAAGGUCACUGUCAAGACCUGUCAGGUAAGGGUCAGCCUCCAGGGUGAGACCUGCCACUUUGAGAAAAGGUUAAAUAAUUUUAAUAUGUGCAUGGUGCUGAGAACAGUGCCUGCAUAAAAUAAAUGGGCAAUGAAAGCUGCUCAAAGAGAGUGAGCUGCAGCUAUCAGGACAGCAGGGAGGAGCCUUGAGUCCAGAAAGGGAGCAGAGACUUGGGCCUGUCUCUGGAAGGCAGACUUGGCUCACACCCACUCUCUCUCCUCUGACCAGCACUCCGCCGCUUAGGGCCACUGAGGAAGCACUGAGCUGCCUUUCUGAGCUAUGGUGUCCCUUUCUGGUGUUCCCCUCAAGGCUUCCCUCUGAUCUCCAGGCCUGAGGAAGGGACCACAGCUCCCCACCUCUCCUGCCACCCAUCUGUCACCUCUGCCAGCACUGGGGUAGGCCUCGGCCAGGAAUUCUAGGUUGGACUGGGAGGGCUGGAAGGCCUUCACUGUGUGCAUUGUGUGCCCCUCUCCAGUAAUCCACACCUAGGGAAACUGAGGCCCCAAACGGAAGCCCUCCCCAUCUCUUCUCACAGCCAGUGAAUCAGUGGCUAUUCCUCCAUCUUCCUCUGUUCUCUGGAGGUCCCAGAGGCUGCUGUAGACUAUGCUUCCCCCUCCCACCUCCUGGCCACGCCUCACCUGGUCUUUGUUGCUCUGCUGCUGUCUGGGUAAUUCUCACCAAGCUGGGGGUCAGCCCCCUGGGAGUAAGCAGCUAACCAGCUAAUGAGCUUCAGAUGUCCAGCUGAACCUGGCGGUAUGGUAGGCCAGGUUCAAAUGCUCUGGCUGACUGAGGAGGUCUGGCCAGUGAGGAUGGUGUGGAGAGGACUCUCCUCUCUCUUGCCUGACUUGGAUUAGACACAGCAAGUGCCAGUGUUUAACCCACAAAACCCCAGCCAGGCGGCUAUUUCAAGAUCUGGAAAAGGAUAGAGAGGCUGCAGGACAAAUGCAUACUCAUGGGAACGUAUUCUUGCCUCAAACCUUUUCUGGUUCCCCAGCUGUUGCUGUUUCUAACGAGGUUGAAGCGGGAAGGGUAAAGAGAGAGGAGUAAGCUCCACGUUAAAAGCCAGCUGUGCACAGUCUGAACUGGCCACAAAUGUCAUUUUCUCCAACCCUUACAGGAACCCUGCAAAGUUAGAGGACAGUCACCAGUCACAUUACAGAUGAGAUGGAGGCUCAGAGAGGUGGGACAACUUGCUUAAGAUUACACAGCCUCCAAGUGCACAAACUAGGUUCCAGCCCACCUCUGUCAGAGCCCAUGACCCUAUAACAAGCUGAGAUGUUUCCAUCAUCAGAAGACCAGAAUGGCGUAUGUGGUCUCAAAGUUUGGUGAAUGGUGGGGGCCCAUGGCUGCCCUGGGGUUUCAAACACUUAGGCUGCCUUUGAAGUUGACUCACUCCGAAAUCUUGACAAGGCAGCGGAUUUCACAUUUACAAAAGGCAGAUCAUCACUUCAAGUUCAGGUGAGGUAAUACUAAUUGCCAUCACCCCAUUCUCAGCCAUGCCUAAAACACAUUCUGGGAGCCAGACCCACUGCUGGGAGCUUUCCAUUGGUUAUUUGUAAAGAGCUUGGAUUCUAGAACUCUACUUAUUAACUGUGUGACCCUGGCCAACUUACUUUACCUCUCUGAGCCUCUGUUUCCACUUCUAUGAAAUGAGGAUAUUUGUUCUGAUCUCAUACGGUUGCUGUGAAAUUAAAUGAGUUAGUAUCUGUUAAGGGAUUAAAAGGAUGCCUGGCACAGGGGACACACCCAGCAUGUGUUAACUAACAUUGGAUUCAGCCUUGUGAGACAUUGAGAUAUUAUUUCCC